rnacentral:rRNA from 1 species
UACGUAGGGUGCAAGCGUUAAUCGGAAUUACUGGGCGUAAAGCGUGCGCAGGCGGUUUUGUAAGUCUGUCGUGAAAUCCCCGGGCUCAACCUGGGAAUUGCGAUGGAGACUGCAAGGCUAGAAUCUGGCAGAGGGGGGUAGAAUUCCACGUGUGAGCAGUGAAAUGCGUAGAGAUGUGGGAGGAACACCGAUGGCGAAGGCAGCCCCCUGGGUCAAGACUGACGCUCAUGCACGAAAGCGUGGGGAGCAAAC